AGUUGGAAUAAGCGGAAUAAGGACAGAGUGUGAUGGGUGCUGACAAAUAUAAUGCUUUGAGGAAGCGGGAGGGUCCUUACUCCGAAGAAACAGUAUUUAGGCUGACUGGACCACUGGGUAGGAGCCUGCCUCCUACAGAGGAGGCGGAGUCUCUCCAGGCAGAAGGAACAACUAGUGCAAAAGCCCUGAACCUGAAAAUCACUUGACUUGUGGCCAGGAAGAGGAUCAUUGUGGUGGGGGCUUAGUGCGGGGCAGCGAGAGAGCAUGAGCAGGGAGCUCAGAAGCUGGGAUGACCCUUCAGAUUUGUCAUUAGAUGCAGCUGCCUGAGGAAGUGGGCAUGACUCGGCAGCCGAGGCAGUCCUCGAGGGGCUGACAGCGGAGGGCGGGAUUCCCAGCAGCUGGACCCCGAGUCCGUCCCUGACCCUGAAAGGGGCUCUGCUCUGUGGACGCCCUGGGAGUGGCCAGGACCGAGCUUCAACAGCGCCAUCGUGUGGCGAUAAUAAGUCACAACAGCAGUGAACUCAGGACUUCCGGUUACCUUGCUCAGUGGAGAAAGCGGUCGUGUCUGACUCUUUUGCAACCUCACGGACUGGAGCCCACCAGGCUCCCCUGUCGACG